CUACGGGGCGCUGCAGUGAGGAAUCUUCCACAAUGGACGAAAGUCUGAUGGAGCGACACCGCGUGAAGGAUGAAGGCCUAACGGUUUUAAACUUCUUUUCUGAAGGAGCAUAAUGAGAGUACUUCAGGAAUAAGGGACGGCUAAAUACCUGCCAGCAGCCGCGGUAAUACGUAUGUCCCAAGCGUUACCCGGAAUCACUGGGUGUAAAGGGUUCGUAGGUGGCUUUAUAAGUUGUAUAUGAAAGACCGAAGCUCAACUUCGUGUUGGUGUACAAAACUGUAAAGCUAGAAUCAGGAAGAGGUAAGCGGAAUUCUAAGUGUAGGGGUGCAAUCCGUAGAUACUUAGAGGAACACCAAAAGCGAAGGCAGCUUACUGGGACUGUAUUGACACUGAUGAACGAAAGCGUGGGUAGCGAAAAGGAUUAGAUACCCGAGUAGUC
rnacentral:rRNA from 1 species